CCCAGAUGUCGGUUUCAAUUAAACGCUGCCACCUGAUGUGUGCACUCACUGAGG
rnacentral:snoRNA from 1 species